ACAGACGCCCGAGCCGGGUUCUUCCUUCCGUUCCCCCCUCCCCCCCUGCUAUACACAAACCCAAUAUGGCGGCAGCCACGAAGAGAAAUCGGCUUCCGCUUCCGGGGUUAGGAUGGGCGGGAGAAAGACUCGCUAUUCCCCUGCCAUUGGUAACUGAGGGAGGAAGUGGGCGUUGCUAUGGUGUUCUGACGUAGGAGGGAGAUGGGUGGCUCGGCAUCUGUGAAGACGGGCCGGGGAAGACAGGAAAGGAUGGAAAGACAGUUGGCGUUACUGUUCCCAGUUAUAGCGUUCCGCUGUGUUAUCAGCACAAGAAGCGUCUGCUGAACCCCAUGCCGUGGGGAGGAGAGCAGGCACCAGGAAGAGAGCGCGGGCGUGCCCUAACCUAACCUAGCCUAGCCUAGCCUAGCCUAGCCCAGCCCAGCCCAGCCCAGCCCACGCCUGCGCAGGGGCACGCCCGCUAGCUGCUGCGCAGGCGCAGCCCCGCUCCGCGUCUGGGGGGCAGCCCCGCCCUGCCUCGCUCCCGCGAAGCCAAUGAGCGCGAGCGUGCUGUUGCCAUGGUCCGGCGUCCGCGGCGCCUGCGUGGCGCUGACGAAGGGCCGGCAGCGGGACGGCGAGAGCUGCCAUGUCGGCAGCGCCGAGCGAGCCUGUGCUUCAGCACGGGGGGGGGGGGUCUCCGUCCCAGAGUGGGAGUGGGGCGGGCUCUGUGGGGGCUCGGACCGUGUCUUCUCCCCCCACCCCGCUCCCUUCAGCGUGCUUGGUAACGAGCUUCGCUCGGGGUGGGGUCUGCAGGGUGCCGCCUCAGCCUGUUCGCCUCACCUGGAACGGCGAAGGAUGUGGACUGUAAGGCUAUUCUGAUUCCUUUCUCAAGAUGAAGGGGAAUGGAAACAGGGGAAAGAACAUGGUAUGGAGGAAAAAAGGCCCACUAAGUAAUAGUUAAGUGAAUUCUUAAUUCUUUUCUUUAACUUGCUUACUUUAAAGAUUUUCUAUAUGAACUGUGCACUACAGCUAAAUAAGAUACUUAGCAAUGGAAGACGUUGUAGCUCAGCAACUGAAGCAAGGAGAGUGAGACGCUGAGGUAUUUUGUCAUGGGAAGAAACUGGAUAAAUUAUUUCAGGGAGAUUAUAUGUGUUGUUUUGAUGCUGUAGUUCCAGUAAGCUGUGUUCUAAUGUCCUAAUUUUUUAGGAAUUUGAGUGAAUUCUGUUCUCCCUUCAUAACCACUCAGACUCAGUAAGGUGAUGCACUGUUAUGCAUUAAAUUAAUGUUUAAUUUUUUUCCACAUCUGGAAACUAAUCUUAUUAAUAUCCAGUUGCCUUCUCCCUCACUCAUGAUUCAUGUAGUUUCAUGAUUCUGUUAAGAAAUUUGAA
rnacentral:lncRNA from 1 species